rnacentral:rRNA from 1 species
GAUGAACGCUGGCGGCGUGCUUAACACAUGCAAGUCGAACGGAAAGGCCCCUGCUUGCAGGGGUACUCGAGUGGCGAACGGGUGAGUAACACGUGGGUGAUCUGCCCUUCACUUCGGGAUAAGUCUGGGAAACUGGGUCUAAUACCGGAUAGGACCACAUUCUGGAUGGUGUGGUGGAAAGUUUUUCGGUGGGUGGUGAGGUCGUGGCGUAUCAGCUGGUUGGUGGGGUAAUGGCCAACUAAGGCGUCGACGGGUAGCCGGCCUGGGAGGGGGGACGGCACCAUUGGGCCGGAGUAAGGGCCCGGACGCAUAGGGAGGGCAGCGGUGGGGAAGGUUGCAAAAGGGGCGCAGGCCUACUGAACCGACGCCGGGUGGGGGAGGACGGCCUUCGGGUUGUAAACUCCUUUCGCUGGGAACGAAGCGCAAGUGACGGUACCUGGAGAAAAGGCACCGGCAAACUACGU